UCUUUAUCAGCUGCCUUGCCUGGCUGUUUUGUAAAUGAAAUUACGAAUGUAAAUUAUGUUUGUACAUUUUCAUUGCACAUAUAAAACUUUUAUAAAUGUGAAAAUAAUCUUUAUUUGACAUAGAGAACAAGAGGGGGGGGAUAUUUCUCAUUGAGAACUUUGGUACAGUGUAAUACAGGUGAAACAGUAACUGCCUAGGUCCAAAGGAGGGACCUUCUUUUACUCAGAUGAUAAACUGUAAACAAAUAAAUAAGCUGCUUAAAGAACCUUAGCAGUUUGAAGUUAUAAUUUACAGCUAGAGUCUUUUUUUCAGUAAGUCAUUAUUUCACAAUAGAGCUUUUUACUUUUAAAGAAAUGGCACAAAAUUAAGCUUACCAGCUUGAAUUUUUUAUUUUCUUUACUUCCAGAAUUGUCCUGGAAAAAGCACUUCUUAGCUACUUACUUUGCAUGGGAACUGGCCUCGGUCAAGUGCACACAGGCUCUUCUUCCUAGAAUCCGGCACUGAGCUUUCUGCCACCCAGGGCUUAGUCAGCAACUGGAGAAUUAUUCCUGAAGUUUAAGCUCUUCCUCAUAGUCACCAGUUGUUAUCUUCCCAGCUCAGCUCUUCUUCUUCCCAGCCUUCUGCCUCUCCCUGCAACAGAACACACCAGCUAUCUGAAUGGCAGCACUCUGUGCACUCUCAUCAUCCCACUGCCAGCUUGGUCCUGACCUGUGGCAAGAUGACUUUCUUCAGCUGUUCCUGAGUGAAGUGCUCCACGUAGGCUUCAAUGUGGGACAGUAACACCAUCCUCACAUGCUCCUCAUGGACCUCAAACAGCUGGAGAAGCACAGGGAUCACCCGUGACUGGAACAGUGCUGGCGAGAGCAAGCAAGGAGUCUCUCCUGCAUUCUCUACCCCAAAUCAGAGGGCACAGACAACAGUCAUUCAGUGAAAAGGGUAAAGAACAUAAUUUGUCAGCUGAGUCCAGAAUUUUACACAUAUCUUAUGUAGUUGUCUACAAUUGUAAGCCCCGAGCUAAAGGAAUUUCUUAUGUGGAUUCAAAAUUACUUGAAGGCUUUACUGUCUCAAGUGCUCUCUGCAUCCUGUCUGUUCCUGGUUAGUGGAUCAAGUAUGAUCUUUAAAGAACACUGAGGUGAUUCAUGGGUUCUCCCUCAAAUCCACAGUGAGGAUGGAAAGCUAUAAGGGAAAAUUCAAAACUAAAGUAAAUAUGUUCAAUCCAGAGGUAAAGUGCAAGUCUAAACUGAAAUAACUACCCAUAGUAUCCGUUAGAAUGGCACCAUUUAAGAAAAUGAACUCUGGGGGCGGGCAGAAGAGAUGGCUCUUUGGUUAAGAAUAAUGGCGAAUGCAGAGGACCCAGGUUCAGGUCCCAGGACUCAUGGUGGCUUACAACCAUUCCUUCCUAACUCCAGUUUCAGUGGAU